rnacentral:lncRNA from 1 species
AGCCCCAUUAGCUGCUGGAACCAGGAAAUGAGAACAGCCACAAAGUACCCGAGCAAAGCAAGGAUGUGCUAGAUAAGAUCUCAGCUGUGGUCCUUGGCUCCUGGAGAAAGCUAACAUGCCUAAACCAAAGAGUAUUAUGCCCCACCCAAUCUAAUUAGUUUCUUCCACUCAGACUCAUAUGCCUAGUAUUGGAAUGGGAGGUGGGGCUAUGGAAGGUAAAACUUAGGAAGUUGCAUCUCGAAUAAUAUCACAGCACCAGCAUUUGAGAAAGCAGUCCUCAGCACUACCUCUUCAGCUCCAGGCAAAGCAGCUUACCACCGUGGGUUGGAGAAACAGAAAAUACAUGAGUGGCUGCUGAGCCUGGAGGAAGACUGCAAUGGGGAGGAAGGACUCCUAAGGAUAAGAAUAAGAUUUCUUUGGGGGAUGAUGACAAUGUUCUAAAAUUACAAAGUAUUGAUGGACAAGAUCAGGAUGUAAAGCUCUCAGCUACUUCUCCAGCACCAUACCUAUCUGCCUGUCAACACAUUUCCUGCCAAGAUGAUAAUGGACUAACCCUCUAAAGCUGUAAACAAGCCCCCAAUUAAAUGCUUUCUUCUAUAAGUUGCCUUGGUCAUGGUGUCUCUUUAUGGCAAUAGAACAGUAACUAAGGCUUCUGGGAGGGACAGACCCAUUGUCGAUCAAAUAGUGUGGCUGAGAACAGGGUAGAGUUAGUAGCUAAACACAGGGUAGAAGAAAAGGAAAUUGUCCACGAUGCUGAAUUGCCC